UAGUAACUGCGAGUGAAGCGGGAAAAGCUCAAAUUUAAAAUCUGGCGGUCUUUUGGUCGUCCGAGUUGUAAUUUAGAGAAGCGUCUUCCGCGCCGGACUGUGCACAAGUCUCCUGGAAUGGAGCGUCAUAGAGGGUGAGAAUCCCGUCUUUGGCACAGACACCCGGGGCUUCUGUGAUGCGCUCUCGAAGAGUCGAGUUGUUUGGGAAUGCAGCUCAAAAUGGGUGGUGAACUCCAUCUAAAGCUAAAUAUUGGCGAGAGACCGAUAGCGAACAAGUACCGUGAGGGAAAGAUGAAAAGCACUUUGGAAAGAGAGUGAAACAGUACGUGAAAUUGUUGAAAGGGAAACGCUUGAAGUCAGUCGCGUUGACCGAGACUCAGCCUCGCCUCGGCUUGGCGUACUUCUCGGCUGACGGGCCAGCAUCAAUUUUGCCCCUCGGAUAAUGGCAAGGGAAAGGUGGCACCUUCACCGGUGUGUUAUAGUCUCCUGUCGCAUGCGAGGGGUGGGAUUGAGGAACUCAGCAUGCGCUCUUGGCGUCGGGGCUUAGGCCCACGUUUACAUGCUUAGGAUGUUGGCGUAAUGGCUUUAAACGACCCGUCUUGAAACACGGACCAAGGAGUCUAACAUGCCCGCGAGUGUUCGGGUGGAAAACCCGUGUGCGUAAUGAAAGUGAAAGUUGGGACCUUCGUCGUGGAGGGCACCGACGCCCGGACCAGACCUUCUGUGACGGAUCUGCGGUAGAGCGUGCAUGUUGGGACCCGAAAGAUGGUGAACUAUGCCUGAAUAGGGUGAAGU
rnacentral:rRNA from 1 species